rnacentral:lncRNA from 1 species
AAAAGCACAUGCAGCUGCAUUAUUACUUUAUUUAUUUACUUUGGUAUUUACUUCUUGUUAAACUGAAGAGGUUUAAUCCUAAUAUUUGACAUGGCAUGUUUUGAAAUAUCUGUAUUUAGAUCUUCUGUAGUUAACUAGUGAGAAGUUUCUUCCUGCUUCUUUUUAUUCCAAAGCCUCGUUUCGUCAUAUUAAAGGAACCUACUUGACAGCUCAUGACUUCUUUUAUCUAGAGAAAAUAACAGUUAUCCAAGUGCCAACUAAACACUUAUGGUAUAUGUGAGGGACACAUACGCUGCUAUGCAUGCUUCACAAGUCCUUUAAGUUUGUUAUCAACCUCUGGCACAGCAGAAUACAUACCUCUUCGUAAUUACCCAGCCAUUGAGCAGGUUGUACUUGGCAGAUUACUCAACAUCAGAUUGUACUUUCUUUAAUACUUCCUUCUCAUGAGAGAGUACUGCUAUAUGUGUGCCCUAGAUUAUGCAGAAGUUUUAUCAGAAUCUGCUCCAAAACAGUUCUAUGAACGCAGAAAUGCUUCUAUCAACACAGACAUGCUUAAACUAAUCCAGAAUUACAUUUGUUUUCUACCUCUGCUGCAACGUUCCCAAAAUGUCCACAUAUACCCAGAUAUUUCUGGAUUUACCCUAUUUCACUUGCUGCUUGUAACAUAUGGUAACACUGUCAGUAACUAUCAUAAUAUAUAAUAUACAUAGAGAGCCAAAAACAUGUACAAGAGAACACUUAUAUAUAGACUUUUCAUUAAACACUGAUAUGUCUCCUUUUUUUUUUUUUUCCCCCAACACCAUGCCCAUUCUCUCAUGAGCUUAGAAGUACCAGUACCAGACAAGAAUCUGUAAAACUACUGAUUUUCUGUGUGGCUUUUGCAAAUUCUCAUACAUACUUUGUCUAUCAUCUUUUGUCUAUCAUGAUCUUACCCAUAAAGUGAGGAUAGCAAACACCCUACUAAUAGGACCUGGUAGUGACCUGAAGAAAAAGGACCAAUUAAUGUCUUCAGAUGCUACAGUUGCUGCAAGGUUGUUAGAUUAUAUUUCUUUGCCUAAGGCUGCUUUGGAAAUAAAAUGUUGGUAAAAUAUCA